CUAAAAUAUCCUGGCAACAUGCCCUCCAACUCUACGCCACCCAAACAUCUAAUAAAAACUGCCAUGGUCUUAUUGACCUUACCCCUACAUCGGGCUACUGCAGCUGGAUUCCUGACGUUCCACCAUAUAAAGCAAGGCACCAUCUCAGACCACACCACCACGCCAGGAACCAGCCCCAGCAGCCAAUCCAUGUCCCUCUUCAUUCUCCUUACCAGUUCCCG